CUUCUGAGUUGAACUUCAUUGCUCCUGCUGCAGCCAGAACUUCCACCUGGAAGUAAUCUGGUUGGAACUCUGAUGUUGCAGCUGCCUUUGAGCCUGAUACCCAUACCUGUUUCAUAACCUCUCCUGGCUGUAAACCUGAGCACCGAUGCUUGACCUAUUAUGUAAAUAACCCACACUCCAACCUGCAAUUAUGGAAGGUCUACAAACCUGAAUUGUGACAUUCAACUGAUAUAUGUAAGAAUUCUUGAGAGAGGCCUGUGUCCUGCUGUUGGGGCUGAUCCAUGGGAGAAUUCCUGUGGGAGGAAGAGGCUGAAACUCUGGCCUAGCGUUAUUAAACAGAGCACUCAUAAUAAAUGUGUCAAUACUAUUUCUGAAAUGUUUGCAAGUUUCUCUCUAUCACAAACAUAUUGUUCAAAUUUUAUUAAAGGAAAAUAUUGUAGUAUCCUAUUGGAAUUAUUGGGUUUUUGGGUAAUUAUCUUAAGCCCC